rnacentral:rRNA from 1 species
GACGAACGCUGGCGGCGUGCUUAACACAUGCAAGUCGAACGGAAAGGCCCUGCUUUUGUGGGGUGCUCGAGUGGCGAACGGGUGAGUAACACGUGAGUAACCUGCCCUUGACUUUGGGAUAACUUCAGGAAACUGGGGCUAAUACCGGAUAGGAGCUCCUGCUGCGUGGUGGGGGUUGGAAAGUUUCGGCGGUUGGGGAUGGACUCGCGGCUUAUCAGCUUGUUGGUGGGGUAGUGGCUUACCAAGGCUUUGACGGGUAGCCGGCCUGAGAGGGUGACCGGCCACAUUGGGACUGAGAUACGGCCCAGACCCCUACGGGAGGCAGCAGUGGGGAAUAUUGCACAAUGGGCGGAAGCCUGAUGCAGCAACGCCGCGUGCGGGAUGACGGCCUUCGGGUUGUAAACCGCUUUCGCCUGUGACGAAGCGUGAGUGACGGUAAUGGGUAAAGAAGCACCGGCUAACUACGUG